GAGCCACGUCCUGACACCCACCUCCCCAGGGUCUGGUGGAGACCCCGUCUUACACAACCAGGCGAAGUCAUGAAGAGGCUGUUGGGCGCUGUGCUGGGAUUUUUGUGCACCCAGCUUUGCUGUGUGAGAGGGAUGCAGGUGGAGCAGAGCCCUCCAGCCCUGAUCCUCCAGGAAGGAGCCAGUUCCACUCUGCUGUGCAAGUUUUCUACCUCCGUGAACAACGUGCAGUGGUUUCGCCAAAAUUCGGGGGGACGCCUCAUCAGCCUGUUUUACAUUCCUUCAGGGACAAAGCAAAAUGGGAGACUAAUGUCCACGACGGUCUCUAAAGAACGCCGCAGCUCCUUGAACAUUUCCUCUUCCCAGACCACAGACUCCGCCGUUUAUUUCUGUGCAGUGGAUGCACGGUGCUUCUCAGGCACCUGCAGCUGCUGCACAAACCCUCAGGGGGCUCGACCCCUCCCCCAGUCCCAGGCUCCUCAGGAGGCCCCGCGUCAGCGCUUGCACCUUUCAGAGUUUCUCACCUACAUUGGCAGAGUUUUACCCGCAGAUAUUUUGGGUUGCAUAAGUCUGGGAAUAUGGCUAAAACCACAUUCCUUCUCAUUCUAG